CACUUUUGUUAGGAUUAGCCAUGCAAGUCGUGCGCUCUCAGGCCAUGUUGAGGGCGCGGCGAACGGCUCCGUAACGCGUAGUUAACCUACCCUCGGGACGGGGAUAACCCCGGGAAACUGGGACGAAUACCCGCUAGACGAUAACGCCUGGAAUGGCGUAUCAUUGAAAGGUGCUGGAAACAUGCUUCCAGCGUCGCCCGAGGAUGGGACUGCGUCCGAUCAGGUAGUUGGCGGGGUAACGGCCCACCAAGCCUAUAACCGGUACGGGCCCUGAGAGGGGUAGCCCGGAGAUGGAAACUGAGACAAGGGCCCAGGCCCUACGGGGCGCAGCAGUCGCGAAAACUCCGCAAUGCGCGCAAGCGUGACGGGGCUACCCCGAGUGCCGUCCGCUGAGGAUGGCUUUUCCCCGGUGUAAUGAGCCGGGGGAAUAAGGAGAGGGCAAGACUGGUGUCAGCCGCCGCGGUAAUACCAGCUCUCCGAGUGGUAGGGAUGAUUAUUGGGCUUAAAGCGUCCGUAGCCGGCUUAGCAAGUCUCCUGUUAAACUCAGCGACUUAAUCGUUGAAUCGCGGGAGAUACUACUAGGCUAGGAGGCGGGAGAGGUCGACGGUACUUCUGGGGUAGGGGUGAAAUCCUAUAAUCCCGGGAGGACCACCAGUGGCGAAGGCUGUCGACUAGAGCGCGCUCGACGGUGAGGGACGAAAGCUGGGGGAGCGAACCGGAUUAGAUACCCGGGUAGUCCCAGCUGUAAACGAUGCGGGCUAGGUGUUGGGAUGGCUACGUGCCAUUUCAGUGCCGCAGGGAAGCCAUUAAGCCCGCCGCCUGGGGAGUACGGCCGCAAGGCUGAAACUUAAAGGAAUUGGCGGGGGAGCACCACAAGGCGUGAAGCUUGCGGUUCAAUUGGAUUCAACGCCGGA
rnacentral:rRNA from 1 species